CAUUAAACCGCGACUCAGUCCGUAUCAACUCCGCAUAGCAACGGCGCUGAGUAAUCUCGUCACUGACUCCCGACUGGUUUAUAGAAAAUACAUUAGAUACUCCAGGCCGCUGAGAAUCCCCAGUGGAGUCUAGAAAUUUCCACAGUAAGGACUUUUUCACACUACGUCAUCUCCCGAAGAUUAUUUUGUGGACAGCUGGUGCUAGGGGAACAAUCCAGAGUGUCACCUGACUGUCUCCAGGAUCCUCCUGAGUCAAUGUGCUGAUAACAGAACAAAUUGUUAAUACAACUGUUCCUACGUGUAUCAUGAAGCAGAGCACCUCGCACCUCAGCUUUCAGUCAUCUAGGAAGGUUUGGCUGAUGAAGGUUGCUUAACCCCUUAAGGACUCAGCCCAUUUUGGCCUUAAGGACUCAGACAAUAAAAUUUUUACAUUUUCAUUUUUUCCUCCUCGCCUUCUAAAAAUCAUAACUCUUUUAUAUUUUCAUCCACAGACUAGUAUGAGGGCUUGUUUUUUGCGCGACCAGUUGUCCUUUGUAAUGACAUCACUCAUUAUAUCAUAAAAUGUAUGGCGCAACCAAAAAACACUAUUUUUGUGGGGAAAUUAAAACGAAAAACGCAAUUUUGCUAAUUUUGGAAGGUUUCGUUUUCACGCCGUACAAUUUAUGGUAAAAAUGACGUGUUCUUUAUUCUGAGGGUCAAUAUGAUUAAAAUGAUACCCAUUAUUACAUACUUUUAUAUUAUUGUUGUGCUUAAAAAAAAUCACAAACUUUUUAACCAAAUUAGUACAUUUAUAAUCCCUUUAUUUUGAUGACCUCUAACUUUUUUAUUUUUCCGUAUAAGCGGUGGUAUGGGGGCUCAUUUUUUGCGCCAUGGUCUGUACUUUUUUUUGAUACCACAUUUGCAUAUAAAAAACUUUUAAUACAUUUUUUAUAAUUUUUUUUAAAAUAAAAUGUAUUAAAAAAGUAGGAAUUUAGGACUUUUUUUUUUUUCGUUCACGCCGUUCACCGUACGGGAUCAUUAACAUUUUAUUUUAAUAGUUCGGACAUUUACGCACGCGGCGAUACCAAAUAUGUCUAGAAAAAAUUUUUUUACGCUUUUUGGGGGUAAAAUAGGAAAAAACGGACGUUUUACUUUUUUAUUGGGGGAGGGGAUUUUUCACUUUUUUUUUACUUUUACUUUUACAUUUUUUUUUACACUUGAAUAGUCCCCAUAGGGGACUAUUCAUAGCAAUACCAUGAUUGCUAAUACUGAUCUGUUCUAUGUAUAGGACAUAGAACAGAUCAGUAUUAUCGGUCA